rnacentral:misc_RNA from 1 species
GAUGAAGAACGUAGCGAAAUGCGAUAAGUAAUGUGAAUUGCAGAAUUCCGUGAAUCAUCGAAUCUUUGAACGCACAUUGCGCCCUCUGGUAUUCCGGGGGGCAUGCCUGUCCGAGCGUCAUUUGCAACCCUCAAGCCCGGCUUGUGUGAUGGGUGCCGUCCCCUACGGGACGCGCCCCGAAGGCAAUGGCGGCGUCGCGGUUAUCCGAUCAGCCAAAGUGUAUGGGGCUUUGUCACUCACUUUACGGCCCGGACCGGCGCCAGUCCGAAUCAAUCUUUUUUCUAAAGUUGACCUCGGAUCAGGUAGGGAUACCCGCUGAACUUAAGCAUAUCAAAAGCGGAGGA